AUGGCGCUCCUCCGAGCCCUCCGGCGAGCCCUCCCGCCGCUCUACUCGCCGGCGGCGCCUCUUUCCCGGCACGCCCCAGGUCCUCCUGCGCUCCCUCCCCGUCCUCUCCGGCUCCUGGAUCCGAUCGGCUUCCGGCCGUUCUCCGCCGCCGCGGCCACCGCCACCGCCGUUGUGCGGGCACCGGAAAUGGGCGCCAGCCUCUUCAGAGGGCUCACGGAGACCAGGUUUCCCAAGCGGCGGCCAGGAUUCGUGUCCCGGCGCAAGAGGGCCAGCCUGCGACCCAAAGGUCCGCACUACUGGGUGAAGUGCAAGCCAGGGGAGCCUAUCCCUUCGAGCCAGCCGAAUGAGGGCAGCGUACAGGGGAGGAAGGAGAAGAAGCGGAUCAAGCAGCGCAAGGACUUUAUCAUGGUGUGCAUUUUGUUCAGUUCCUGCAAUGCUUGUUUUGAUUGUGUGAUGGGUUUAUGCAAGGUUAUCAAAAUCUAUCUGUCUCUCUGGAGUAACAGGCCAAUGAAAUUUUGA
rnacentral:rRNA from 1 species